rnacentral:rRNA from 1 species
CAGCCGCCGCGGGAAUACGAAGGGGGCUAGCGUUGUUCGGAUUUACUGGGCGUAAAGCGCACGUAGGCGGACUUUUAAGUCAGGGGUGAAAUCCCGGGGCUCAACCCCGGAACUGCCUUUGAUACUGGAAGUCUUGAGUAUGGUAGAGGUGAGUGGAAUUCCGAGUGUAGAGGUGAAAUUCGUAGAUAUUCGGAGGAACACCAGUGGCGAAGGCGGCUCACUGGACCAUUACUGACGCUGAGGUGCGAAAGCGUGGGGAGCAAACAGGAUUAGAUACCCCCGUAGUCCCUGUCUCUUAUAC